rnacentral:lncRNA from 10 species
UUACAUGGCAGAGACAGGUGGGGAAUACAAGCAAGUACUCCUGAGCUGGAAGGACUUUCCCUGCUCUGGGGCCUUUGGCCAAGUUACCUCAUCUCUCUAUGCCUCAGUUUCCUCCAUGGCCAAAUGGCUUUGUAAUAUCUAUGCUAUAGGCUGUGAGGAUUAGCAGUAAAUUAUGUGAAGUGCCUGGCUCACAGUCAAGACUUGGCAAGUGGAAGUUCAAGGUGAUGAAGUCAGGGAGAGAAGGAGGUAGGAAGGCCUGCUCUUGGCUUCAUGUUCCCUUUCCCCUAAACCAAGAAUAAGUUUCCCUAGGAAAGUGGACCUGCAUUCAGGAGUAGACAGGUAGCAAGGUCCCUGGACCCAUUGCCAAGGUGGGGAAAUUGAGGCAGAGCCAUAAGAAGACUCUGAGGAAUGCAUGAGGGAGGCCGGCUGUCAUUUCUCUACAUCUUCCCACCAAGCUCAGGGCCUCCUCCACGUGGGGAAGGAGAAGCAGGUGGGAAAAA